UACUUGGUGUUUCGAGGUGUCUUCAGUAGUUCAACCCGUCUCAGUGCGUGUGUGGCGUCCGUAUCCUUGGAAAGUUUCAGUUUCAGUAUUGGGUUCUUCAUGGUGGACUGAUCUUUUCUAUUUCUUUGCACUUCCGUUUACUGUUAUCACUGUCGAAUAUCUUCCGAAAAUGGAAAGACGAGAGAAUGUAAAGAAAAAUUGGAAUUUCCAAAUAAAAACAAUUAUUUCUAGGAAUCACUCGAAGAAUUCACCGCCCGAGUUGCCGAAACGUUGGCUGGAAAUUUGAAGAUUGCAGUGUCAAAGUUUGGAAUUUCGGACGCAACAGAAGCAGCAAAACGGCUUAGAACAGAUAGAGAACGUGCGAAAAAAGUUGUCGUUAGAGAGAAGGUAUUUGUUUCCAAUAAUUUGUUUUCUUUAAAAAAUGAAAAUUUUCAAGACUUCACCUAGACUUGCGGAUCCUCGUCAAAUGGACGAAUGUGCAAUGAGAAUCAAACAAUCAUUUCCAUCAUUCCAUUUAUCUGCAAUUCGACGUGAUUUGGAGAAAACUCGUAGUCAAACUACAACUGUUAAUAAUUUGAAAGCUGGUAAAAUUUCAUCAUCAGCAUCGGAUGGUCAAACUGGAAAGG
rnacentral:sRNA from 1 species